UACGGAGGGGGCUAGCGUUGUUCGGAAUUACUGGGCGUAAAGCGCACGUAGGCGGCUUUGUAAGUUAGAGGUGAAAGCCCGGGGCUCAACUCCGGAAUUGCCUUUAAGACUGCAUCGCUAGAAUUGUGGAGAGGUGAGUGGAACUCCUAGUGUAGAGGUGAAAUUCGUAGAUAUUAGGAAGAACACCAGUGGCGAAGGCGGCUCACUGGCCCGGUACUGACGCUGAUAAGCGAAAGCGUGGGGAGCAAACAGG
rnacentral:rRNA from 1 species